GGAGAGGUGCAGGAGUGGCUGAACUGGCACGCCUGGAAAGCGUGUGUACGUGCAAGCGUACCGUGGGUUCGAAUCCCACCCUCUCCGCAA
rnacentral:tRNA from 1 species